GCCUCUUCGCAUGACAUUGUAACCUAAGCCAAAAUUUAGGAAAUACUAGAUUCAACCCUCUCCUCUAUCAUGCUGCCUAGUUAUCAACAACUUCAAUGAGUGUCGUCUCAUAGUCUGCAGGAGCUUCAAAUCCAUGCAGAUUCAUCACGGUUGCAGCGACAUUGGCCAGCCCACCAUUGGGAACAUCCUUGCGGAACUGGACGCCAGGUGCCAGUCCAGGACCACCAAUUGCAAUUGGAACCUUAAUAAAGAAAAACCAAGACAAUCAAUCAAUGAGAACCCGUGGUAGUAACAGUGUUCAAUUCGAUGAUUCUGAAUGAUCAAAUACACCAAAGGACUACUGUUUCCUGGCAUAAAAGGGAUGACUACGAAAGGCCGUGAUACAUGCCAAACUACCAUUUCAUAUGCAUUUGUUACAAAUAUGCAAAAGGUAUUCAGAGAACUUACUGGCUGAAGAGUGUGGGAGGUAAGAAUUUGAAUGUUGCCAUUCUUGUCAAGAAGAGGUUGCCCUUUCUUGUUUCUCUUCACCAUAUCCUCAGCAUUACCGUGAUCUGCAGUAACGACAUAAA
rnacentral:lncRNA from 1 species